rnacentral:misc_RNA from 1 species
AAGCUGCGAUAAGUAAUGUGAAUUGCAGAACUCAGUGAAUCAUCGAGUCUUCGAACGCACAUUGCGCCCCCUGGUACUCCGGGGGGCACACCUGUCCGAGCGUCGUCGUCGUACCCUCGAGGCCCCGUCUGCGUCCCCGGGCGUGGCGGGGCCUCGGUCUUGGGCCUGCACGGUCCGCCCCUUGGGCGGGGGCCCGUAAGCUAUGGAGUGGGUCGUCCCCGGGAGCCCCGAGCGCAGCGGCUGUACCCCAGGCUCGAGCAGGCUCCCGAGGGAGGCGGCCCCCGUCGGUGGCGCGCCCCGCAGCGCACGCAGUUUGACCUCGGAUCAGGUGGGGUUACCCGCUGAACUUAAGC